rnacentral:hammerhead_ribozyme from 1 species
AUUCAGCUGACGAGUCCCAAAUAGGACGAAAGCGUGUGCUGGAU